UACUUUGUGAAACAAACUUGCUUUGGCGGUGGGCCCAGCCUGCCGCCAGAGGUCUAAACUUACAACCAAUUUUUUAUCAACUUGUCACACCAGAUUAUUACUAAUAGUCAAAACUUUCAACAACGGAUCUCUUGGUUCUCGCAUCGAUGAAGAACGCAGCGAAAUGCGAUACGUAAUAUGAAUUGCAGAUAUUCGUGAAUCAUCGAAUCUUUGAACGCACAUUGCGCCCUCUGGUAUUCCGGAGGGCAUGCCUGUUUGAGCGUCGUUUCUCCCUCAAACCGCUGGGUUUGGUGUUGAGCAAUACGACUUGGGUUUGCUUGAAAGACGGUAGUGGUAAGGCGGGAUCGCUUUGACAAUGGCUUAGGUCUAACCAAAAACAUUGCUUGCGGCGGUAACGUCUACCACGUAUAUCUUCAAACUUUGACCUCAAAUCAGGUAGGACUACCCGCUGAACUUAAGCAUAUCAAUAAGCGGAGGAA
rnacentral:rRNA from 1 species